AUGUGCGGCGGGGCUGUUAUCGCCGACUUCGUCCCGGCCGGGGCCCGCCGCCCGGAUGGCUCCUCCACCGACGUCCCCGGCUCCAGCCUCACCGUCACCGGUGAGGAGGUGACGGAGAAACCGCCGGCGCCGGGGCGGAAGACGGCGUACCGUGGGAUCAGGCGCCGGCCAUGGGGCCGCUGGGCUGCGGAGAUCCGGGACCCCAGGAAGGGCGCGCGCGUCUGGCUGGGCACCUACGCUACCGCGGAGGAGGCCGCCCGCGCCUACGACGUCGCGGCGCGCGAUAUCCGCGGGCCGAAGGCCAAGCUCAACUUCCCGCCCGCCGUGGGCGCGCCGCAGGCGGCCGCAGCCGUGGAGGGGGCGGGGGCGCACAAGAAGCGUCGGAUGGUCGCGGCAGAGGAGAGCUCCGCGUCUUGGUCUCCACUUCCGGCCACGGCCACCGGAGGCGGCGGCACAGAGAGCCUGCGGGAGCGCAUGUCCGGGCUGGAGGCGUUCCUGGGGCUGGAGGACGGCGACGUGGAGCCCUGGGAGGCCGUCGAUCUCAUCUUGGAGUAG
rnacentral:rRNA from 1 species